rnacentral:rRNA from 1 species
AGAACGAACGCUGGCGGCAGGCUUAACACAUGCAAGUCGAACGCUCCGCAAGGAGAGUGGCAGACGGGUGAGUAACGCGUGGGAAUCUACCUAAUUCUACGGAACAACAGUUGGAAACGACUGCUAAUACCGGAUGAUAUCGAAAGAUCAAAGAUUUAUCGCCCAGGGAUGAGCCCGCGUAGGAUUAGCUAGUUGGUGAGGUAAAGGCUCACCGGAGGCGACGAUCCUUAGCUGGUCUGAGAGGAUGAUCAGCCACACGUGGGACUGAGACACGGCCCAGACU